rnacentral:lncRNA from 1 species
AUUUUUCGGUGCGGAACUGGUAGUUGGGGAAGUCAUAGAAGUAGUAGUGUGGUAGGUGGUAGUGUGGUAGGUGAGUAACUUAUUUUAAAGAUUUUAUUAUAAUAUCUUUUUGCUAAGUGUCUUAAUCUUGAUAUCUCUUUAAUAUUAUUUUUUGGUAGUGUUAAAUUCAUGGUAAUAUGUAGCAAUAUUUAUUGUAAUAUUCUUCCGAUAGUUGUUUUAAUCUGAAUAUUUCUU